GCUCCAUCUCAAAUAAAUUAGGUUGGUUUCACCUAAACACUAAUGAAAAGGAUCUUAUAGGGAGAGGUUUAAUGUGGGAGGCCAACCUUAUGGGUGACUGAGUUACACUCCCCAGCUGGGUGCUGAGGCGCUCAGUCACAGAAAUGGGUUUGUCUUGCUACAGCCACAUGUUCAGUAUCAAGAAAAUAGCAAGCCCUAUGCUUGCCUGUUCCUUUGUAAUAUAACCCCUUGCCCUGUUUAGGAUAGAAUCUUCCAUGGAAGUGCCUUGUGUGUGUCCCCUUUUCUUACUGUGCCCUUGGGUGUGGCCUACCCAGGUGUCAGUCAACCUGCUGACAGUGGACAUCAUGAAGAUAGACUCAGCCCCCUGAAACCUGACCCCUUGCCUCAUUUGAAUAGCUUCUCCUCAAUAAAAGGGAUCAGCGCAUGCUCUCUCUCUUUCUGCGGACCCUUAAGGUCAGAGGAGCCGUCACAGCAACCCCAAAGAAAAAGGUAUUUGUGUCUCUUUUGUGGUUAUUUCGUGCAGCCCAGUUAGCCCAGUUUAACUAGAGUGACCCCUGAGCCUUUUAGUCGCGAGAACAGAAACCCGGCAGUUUAAGAUUACAGAG
rnacentral:lncRNA from 1 species